CCGGAUUUAUUGGGUUUAAAGGGUGCGUAGGCGGCCUUGUAAGUCAGCGGUGAAAUUUUGCAGCUUAACUGUAAAAGCGCCGUUGAUACUGUGAGGCUAGGAUUUGGUUGCUGUGGGCGGAAUGUGUGGUGUAGCGGUGAAAUGCUUAGAGAUCACACAGAAUAUCGAUUGCGAAGGCAGCUCACAAAGCCAAGAUUGACGCUGAGGCACGAAAGUGUGGGGAUCAAACAGGAUUAGAUACCCUGGUAGUCCACACUGUAAACGAUGAUAACUCGCUGUCGGCGAUAGACCGUCGGUGGCCAAGCGAAAGCGAUAAGUUAUCCACCUGGGGAGUACGACCGCAAGGUUGAAACUCAAAGGAAUUGACGGGGGCCCGCACAAGCGGAGGAACAUGUGGUUUAAUUCGAUGAUACGCGAGGAACCUUACCCGGGCUCGAACGGUGCAUGAACGUUCAAGAGAUUGGACAGUCCUUCGGGACAUGUAUCGAGGUGCUGCAUGGUUGUCGUCAGCUCGUGCCGUGAGGUGUCGGCUUAAGUGCCAUAACGAGCGCAACCCUUGUCAUUAGUUACCAUCAGGUCAAGCUGGGGACUCUAGUGAGACUGCCACCGUAAGUGUGAGGAAGGGGGGGAUGACGUCAAAUCAGCACGGCCCUUUAUGUCCGGGCGACACACGUGUUACAAUGGGGAGGUACAGAGAGCAGCCAGUUAGUGAUAACGCGCCAAUCUCAAAAACCUUUCUCAGUUCGGAUUGGAGUCUGCAACUCGACUCCAUGAAGUUGGAUUCGCUAGUAAUCGCGCAUCAGC
rnacentral:rRNA from 1 species